rnacentral:rRNA from 1 species
GACGAACGCUGGCGGCGUGCUUAAUACAUGCAAGUCAACUUGACUUUAGAUAGCAAUAUCGAAAAGUAGGGUGGCGCACGGGUGCGUAACGCGUAGGUAAUCUGCCCUGAGGUCUGACAUAACCCGUCGAAAGGCGGGCUAACAUCAGAUGAUAUAUAAUCACGACAUCGUGGAAAUAUCAAAUCUUCGGAGCCUUGGGAUGAGCCUGCGUCUGAUUAGGUAGUUGGCGGAGUAAUAGCCCACCAAGCCUACGAUCAGUAGCUGGUCUGAGAGGAUGAUCAGCCACACUGGAACUGAGACACGGUCCAGACUCCUACGGGAGCAGCAGUAAGGAAUAUUGCUCAAUGGGGGAAACCCUGAAGCAGCAACGCCGCGUGAAGGAUGAAAUAC